AGGAUAAUAGUUCAAAAAAGAACAUUUAAUUUGCAUUUAAAAAAUAUAAUUUAGUUAUUUAUCUUA
rnacentral:tRNA from 1 species